AAGAUUUUAGUUAAAGAUAUAUAAUAAGAGCUUGUCGAGCCCUAGUUACCCAAAGUAAAUCUUA
rnacentral:tRNA from 1 species